AUUGAACGCUGGCGGCAGGCUUAACACAUGCAAGUCGAGCGGAGAUGAGGUGCUUGCACCUUAUCUUAGCGGCGGACGGGUGAGUAAUGCUUAGGAAUCUGCCUAUUAGUGGGGGACAACAUUCCGAAAGGAAUGCUAAUACCGCAUACGCCCUAAGGGGGAAAGCAGGGGAUCUUAGGACCUUGCGCUAAUAGAUGAGCCUAAGUCGGGUUAGUUAGUUGGUGGGGUAAAGGCCUACCAAGGCGACGAUCUGUAGCGGGUCUGAGAGGAUGAUCCGCCACACUGGGACUGAGACACGGCCCAGACUCCUACGGGAGGCAGCAGUGGGGAAUAUUGGACAAUGGGCGAAAGCCUGAUCCAGCCAUGCCGCGUGUGUGAAGAAGGCCUUUUGGUUGUAAAGCACUUUAAGCGAGGAGGAGGCUCUCUUAGUUAAUACCUAGGAUGAGUGGACGUUACUCGCAGAAUAAGCACCGGCUAACUCUGUGCCAGCAGCCGCCGUAAAAC
rnacentral:rRNA from 1 species